rnacentral:snoRNA from 1 species
AAGACUAUACUUCUAGGGAUGGUUUUUCCAGUAAAUUACUAGAGAAGUGUUUCUCAACAUGCAGGGUCCUAGUAACACGCUGACGAAUGCUACGUAGUGUCCUCUCCUAAGCAAGUGUAGGCUGGGUUUUAGUGUUGUCUGGUGGCAGCUGACACUUCAUGACUGUUCUUUUUCUUUGGGGAAAGUGAGAGAGGAAGAACAUGA